rnacentral:rRNA from 1 species
GACGAACGCUGGCGGCGUGCUUAACACAUGCAAGUCGAACGGAAAGGCCCUGCUUUUGUGGGGUGCUCGAGUGGCGAACGGGUGAGUAACACGUGAGUAACCUGCCCUUGACUUUGGGAUAACUUCAGGAAACUGGGGCUAAUACCGGAUAGGAGCUCCUGCUGCAUGGUGGGGGUUGGAAAGUUUCGGCGGUUGGGGAUGGACUCGCGGCUUAUCAGCUUGUUGGUGGGGUAGUUGCUUACCAAGGCUUUGACGGGUAGCCGGCCUGAGAGGGUGACCGGCCACAUUGGGCCUGAGAUACGGCCCAGACUCCUACGGGAGGCAGCAGUGGGGAAUAUUGCACAAUGGGCGGAAGCGUGAUGCAGCAACGCCGCGUGCGGGAUGACGGCCUUCGGGUUGUAAACCGCUUUCGCCUGUGACGAAGCGUGAGUGACGGUAAUGGGUAAAGAAGCACCGGCUAACUACGUG